rnacentral:rRNA from 1 species
GACGAACGCUGGCGGCGUGCUUAACACAUGCAAGUCGAGCGGAAAGGCCACUUCGGUGGUACUCGAGCGGCGAACGGGUGAGUAACACGUGAGUAAUCUGCCCCUGGCUUUGGGAUAGCCACCGGAAACGGUGAUUAAUACCGGAUACGACCACUUAUCGCAUGGGAUGGUGGUGGAAAGUUUUUUCGGCCAGGGAUGUGCUCGCGGCCUAUCAGCUUGAUGGUGAGGUAAUGGCUCACCAUGGCUUCGACGGGUAGCCGGCCUGAGAGGGUGACCGGUCAAACUGGGACUGAGACACGGCCCAGACUCCGACGGGAGGCAGCAGUGGGGAAUAUCGGACAAUGGGCGGAAGCCUGAUCCAGCAACGCCGCGUGAGGGAUGACGGCCUUCGGGUUGUAAACCUCUUUCAGCAGGGACGAAGCGCAAGUGACGGUACCUGCAGAAGAAGCACCGGCCAACUACGUGCCAGCAGCCGCGGUAA